AUUGAACGCUGGCGGCAGGCCUAACACAUGCAAGUCGAGCGGCAGCACGGGUACUUGUACCCGGUGGCGAGCGACGGACGGGUGAGUAAUGCCUAGGAAUCUGCCUGGUAGUGGGGGAUAACGCUCGGAAACGGACGCUAAUACCGCAUACGUCCUACGGGAGAAAGCAGGGGACCUUCGGGCCUUGCGCUAUCAGAUGAGCCUAGGUCGGAUUAGCUAGUUGGUGAGGUAACGGCUCACCAAGGCGACGAUCCGUAACUGGUCUGAGAGGAUGAUCAGUCACACUGGAACUGAGACACGGUCCAGACUCCUACGGGAGGCAGCAGUGGGGAAUAUUGGACAAUGGGCGAAAGCCUGAUCCAGCCAUGCCGCGUGUGUGAAGAAGGUCUUCGGAUUGUAAAGCACUUUAAGUUGGGAGGAAGGGCAGUUACCUAAUACGUAUCUGUUUUGACGUUACCGACAGAAUAAGCACCGGCUAACUCUGUG
rnacentral:rRNA from 1 species